rnacentral:rRNA from 1 species
AACUGCGAAUGGCUCAUUAAAUCAGUUAUCGUUUAUUUGAUAGUACCUUACUACAUGGAUAACCGUGGUAAUUCUAGAGCUAAUACAUGCUAAAAACCUCGACUUCGGAAGGGGUGUAUUUAUUAGAUAAAAAACCAAUGCCCUUCGGGGCUCCUUGGUGAAUCAUAAUAACUUAACGAAUCGCAUGGCCUUGCGCCGGCGAUGGUUCAUUCAAAUUUCUGCCCUAUCAACUUUCGAUGGUAGGAUAGUGGCCUACCAUGGUAUCAACGGGUAACGGGGAAUUAGGGUUCGACUCCGGAGAGGGAGCCUGAGAAACGGCUACCACAUCCAAGGAAGGCAGCAGGCGCGCAAAUUACCCAAUCCCGACACGGGGAGGUAGUGACAAUAAAUACUGAUACAGGGCUCUUUUGGGUCUUGUAAUUGGAAUGAGUACAAUUUAAAUCCCUUAACGAGGAACAAUUCCCAGGGCAAGUCUGGUGCCAGCAGCCGCGGUAAUUCCAGCUCCAAUAGCGUAUAUUAAAGUUGUUGCAGUUAAAAAGCUCGUAGUUGAACCUUGGGCCUGGCUGGCCGGUCCGCCUCACCGCGUGUACUGGUCCGGCCGGGCCUUUCCUUCUGGGGAACCUCAUGCCCUUCACUGGGCGUGUUGGGGAACCAGGACUUUUACUUUGAAAAAAUUAGAGUGUUCAAAGCAGGCCUUUGCUCGAAUACAUUAGCAUGGAAUAAUAGAAUAGGACGUGUGGUUCUAUUUUGUUGGUUUC